rnacentral:lncRNA from 1 species
AUGAGUAUUGCCACUCCUGCUUUCUUUUGGUCUCUAUUCGCGUGGUAUAUCUUUUUCCAGCCCUUCACUUUCAGUCUGUAUGUGUCCCUUGUUUUGAGGUGGGUCUCUUGUAAGCAGCAUAUAACUGGAGGAAUCAACUUGCCUGACUUCAGGCUCUACUACAAAGCCACAGUCAUCAAGACAGUAUGGUACUGGCACAAAGACAGACAUAUAGAUCAAUGGAACAAAAUAGAAAGCCCAGAGAUAAAUCCACACACAUAUGGACACCUUAUCUUUGACAAAGGAGGCAAGAAUAUACAAUGGAGUAAAGACAAUCUCUUUAACAAGUGGUGCUGGGAAAACUGGUCAACCACUUGUAAAAGAAUGAAACUAGAUCACUUUCUAACACCGCACACAAAAAUAAACUCAAAAUGGAUUAAAGAUCUAAAUGUAAGAUCAGAAACUAUAAAACUCCUAGAGGAGAACAUAGGCAAAACACUCUCAGACAUAAAUCACAGCAGGAUCCUCUAUGAUCCACCUCCCAGAAUUCUGGAAAUAAAAGCAAAAAUAAACAAAUGGGAUCUAAUUAAAAUUAAAAGCUUCUGCACAACAAAGGAAAAUAUAAGCAAGGUGAAAAGACAGCCUUCUGAAUGGGAGAAAAUAAUAGCAAAUGAAGCAACUGACAAACAACUAAUCUCAAAAAUAUACAAGCAACUUAUGCAGCUCAAUUCCAGAAAAAUAAACGACCCAAUCAAAAAAUGGGCCAAAGAACUAAAUAGACAUUUCUCCAAAGAAGACAUACGGAUGGCUAACAAACACAUGAAAAGAUGCUCAACAUCACUCAUUAUUAGAGAAAUGCAAAUCAAAACCACAAUGAGGUACCACUUCACACCAGUCAGAAUGGCUGCGAUCCAAAAAUCUGCAAUUCACAGUCCAACUCUCACAUCCAUACAUGACUACUGGAAAAACCAUAGCCUUGACUAGAUGAACCUUAGUCGGCAAAGUAAUAUCUGUAGUUUGAAUAUACUAUCUAGGUUGGUGAUAACUUUUCUUCCAAGGUGUAAGUGUUUUUUAAUUUCAUGGCUUCAAUCACCACCUGCAGUCAUUUUGGAGCCCCCCAAAAUAAAGUCUGUUAUAG